ACGGAAGGCAGCAGUGGGGAAUAUUGCACAAUGGGCGAAAGCCUGAUGCAGCGACGCCGCGUGAGUGAAGAAGUAUCUCGGUAUGUAAAGCUCUAUCAGCAGGGAAGAAAAUGACGGUACCUGACUAAGAAGCCCCGGCUAACUACGUGCCAGCAGCCGCGGUAAUACGUAGGGGGCAAGCGUUAUCCGGAUUUACUGGGUGUAAAGGGAGCGUAGACGGUUUGGCAAGUCUGAAGCGAAAUGCGGGGGCUCAACUCCUGAACUGCUUUGGAAACUGUCGAACUAGAGUGCAGGAGAGGUAAGUGGAAUUCCUAGUGUAGCGGUGAAAUGCGUAGAUAUUAGGAGGAACACCAGUGGCGAAGGCGGCUUACUGGACUGUAACUGACGUUGAGGCUCGAAAGCGUGGGGAGCAAACAGGAUUAGAUACCCUGGUA
rnacentral:rRNA from 1 species